CCUCUGUCCUGCUGGACACGGCUCGGACACGGCUGGAACACCAGGAUCUGCUGCUGAGGAGCCCUGGAGAGCCGGAGCCCAGCUCGGUGACGGGGCUGUGUGGGCACAGCCUGGCCCUGCUCCUGUCCCCACGCAGCUGCAGCCAGGAGCUCUGGGCUCGCCCAGGAGCCGAUCCCGAGGGGUUGCCCAUGGAAUAGGCGCUUUUCCAGGUGCCUGGGCACACGAGAGGCUGAAGUUGGUCGCCCCGGGGCACCCGAACCUGCCCUGCCCUGGAGCCCCCGGCCUCUGCCAUGAAUGAUGCAUCCACCAUGGAUUAUGAACUGCUCUCCCCGUCCCUGGUGGAGCACCCCGCCGGCGCCGCGGGCAUGGAUGCCGAGCAGAAAACUGUCUUUGCCUUCGUCAUCUUCCUCCU
rnacentral:lncRNA from 1 species